CCUACGGGCGGCAGCAGUGAGGAAUAUUGGUCAAUGGACGAGAGUCUGAACCAGCCAAGUAGCGUGAAGGAUGACUGCCCUAUGGGUUGUAAACUUCUUUUAUAUGGGAAUAAAAUGUUCCACGUGUGGGAUUUUGUAUGUACCAUAUGAAUAAGGAUCGGCUAACUCCGUGCCAGCAGCCGCGGUAAUACGGAGGAUCCGAGCGUUAUCCGGAUUUAUUGGGUUUAAAGGGAGCGUAGGUGGAUUGUUAAGUCAGUUGUGAAAGUUUGCGGCUCAACCGGAAAAGUGCAGUUGAAACUGGCAGUCUUGAGUACAGUAGAGGUGGGCGGAAUUCGUGGUGUAGCGGUGAAAUGCUUAGAUAUCACGAAGAACUCCGAUUGCGAAGGCAGUUCACUGGACUGCAACUGACACUGAGGCUCGAAAGUGUGGGUAUCAAACAGGAUUAGAUACCCGAGUAGUC
rnacentral:rRNA from 1 species